AGAACACAACAGCAUUAUCCCAGAACACAACAUUUGCAGAAACGCUGCAUUUCAAGUUGCUCACAACGGAAGUGCUCCAGACCACUAGGGGCAGUGCAAAGUGGAAUUAGUUGGGUUCCCACCAAAAUAAAAACAAACUUGUUGACAGCCGGUCAAUUUCAAAAUUAUCCCAACCAAGAACACUACUUAAAUUCACCAAAUUUGUCUUUUGCGGCUCAUGUGGGAAACAUUUUCAGUUUUUGGCUGACGCUGAAGACGACGACAUGGCUCUCCCUGUAAGGUGCUGGUACAGUGUCUUGGUGAGGAAUCAAGGACCGGGACCACCAUAAACCAUACAGACUGCAAUCAUCCUCCCAGCAAGGAAGUAUUCAUCAUCUUUUGCCGCUGUAAUGAAUGGAUAGUUUUCUCCAAUUAAUAAACAUUUUAAAUCACUUUUACCCUC
ensembl:lncRNA